UCAAGUUUGACGCAUCACGUGGCGUGCGGAUCCACUGAAGGUCCACAGAGAGGGGCGCCCAUCUCCUGCGUCUCAGUUAUCCCGGUAAUCGUGUAUCUGCCCAUUGUUCGUUGUCUCAUUAACUUGGCUUUCUGGGUGCACCCACCUUGCCACCAGAGAAGUCCAAAUCCUGACUUCUCUCCAAGGUAUUGGGAAUUCUGUGCCCUAAAGAAUUCCGACUCAGAUCCGAACGGGGAUCUGGUGGAAUCGAGGGUGAAAGACCAGAGGGACGAUGUUCUACUAUCCCUACGUGCUUCAGCGCCACACCGGCUGCUUUGCCACCAUCUGGCUGGCGGCGACUCGCGGCAGCCGGUUGGUGAAGCGCGAAUACCUGAAGGUGAAUGUGGUGAAGACCUGCGAGGAAAUCCUCAAUUAUGUGCUGGUACGAGUGCAACCCCCGCAGCCCGGCCUGCCGCGGCCCCGCUUCUCCCUCUAUCUCUCAGCCCAACUUCAGAUCGGUGUGAUCCGCGUCUAUUCUCAACAAUGCCAGUACCUUGUGGGUAAGGCUGGGAACCCUCAAAGGCGGGGCGGGCUGAGCAGCUGUCUGCUAAGCUGGCUGUCUACCUCACCCUCCCUGCCCACAGAGGACAUCCAGCACAUCUUGGAGCGCCUCCACCGUGCC
rnacentral:sRNA from 1 species